UACAUGGGGUGCAAACGUUGCUCGGAAUUAUUGGGCGUAAAGCGCGCGUAGGCGGUUACUUAAGUCGGAUGUGAAAGCCCUCGGCUUAACUGAGGAAGUGCACCCGAAACUGAGUAGCUAGAGUACUAAAGAGGGUCGCGGAAUUCCCGGUGUAGAGGUGAAAUUCGUAGAUAUCGGGAGGAACACCGGUGGCGAAGGCGGCGACCUGGGUAGAGACUGACGCUGAGGCGCGAAAGCAUGGGGAGCAAACAGG
rnacentral:rRNA from 1 species